rnacentral:misc_RNA from 1 species
GUUUCCCUUGUUCAGUCUCCGCCCUCUCCGUCACUCGCCACAAUCCUCCUGAUCUCUUCUGUCUCUCAUUGAAGACUGAGCUGAUCUACUCUCCUCAGUCUCUCGACUCUUAAUGGUCAGUCGAGAGUCAUGACCCUCAAUCCCUCAUCAGUUCCCUCUGAUUUUGGUUUCUAAAUCGACGCUCAACGUUCAGGCUUCUCUCCACUUCACAAUCAUUAAGUAGUGGUUAGCCAUUUCUCUACUUCUGCGAUUUAUAGGAUUCACAGGCUACCUCCCACAAUUGCUAUUUAUUUCUUAUUUAGAAGAUGUUCAAGUCUGAUUUAGACUUGCUGAGGAGCGAAAUUUCUAAAUUACGCUGCAUAUGUGUUGAAUCUAUUUUAUGUGCUUAUGGAAAUUGGAAAGGUUCUUAGAGAGGGGAUCAAGGAUACAACGAAGAAGUUGCG